rnacentral:rRNA from 1 species
CGGCGUGCCUAAUACAUGCAAGUCGAACGCUUUUUCUUUCACCGGAGCUUGCUCCAUCGAAAGAAAAAGAGUGGCGAACGGGUGAGUAACACGUGGGUAACCUGCCCAUCAGAAGGGGAUAACACUUGGAAACAGGUGCUAAUACCGUAUAACACUAUUUUCCGCAUGGAAGAAAGUUGAAAGGCGCUUUUGCGUCACUGAUGGAUGGACCCGCGGUGCAUUAGCUAGUUGGUGAGGUAACGGCUCACCAAGGCAACGAUGCAUAGCCGACCUGAGAGGGUGAUCGGCCACACUGGGACUGAGACACGGCCCAGACUCCUACGGGAGGCAGCAGUAGGGAAUCUUCGGCAAUGGACGAAAGUCUGACCGAGCAACGCCGCGUGAGUGAAGAAGGUUUUCGGAUCGUAAAACUCUGUUGUUAGAGAAGAACAAGGAUGAGAGUAAAAUGUUCAUCCCUUGACGGAUCUAACCAGAAGCC